GCCCUAUUUGGUUUAAAUUUGAUCACACCUUUUGGGAGAGGAAUUUGCAUAUAUCUGUUUCCAAAUGGAGUAAUUUGAUAGUUACUUUUCUAUUUCAGUGAUAUAGACAUUUUUCUUAAACUAAUUAAGGAAGAUUGAUAGGCUUUGCUCAGACUUUGAAAUAAUGUUUUUACUUAUUUUAAGCAAGAGGGAGAUAAAAAUGGUUUUAAUAAAAUUAGCUUGCCUCCUAACAAUCAGGCUUUCUCUAGAAUGUACAUUUCCAUUCCCAGAGCAGGAUUCUGCUAGAGCACAGAGGCCAGAUACAUCUUUAAGGAACAUGAAUUCAGAUUCCUCUUCCCAGUGCUUGCUCAAGUGGGAUUCUAAACACUUGGGAGCAAGUGGGUACUAUGUAGAUGUGCUUGGCAUCCGUGUGGAUUAUGGAAAGCGGUCAUCUAUUUUACAGCUGCAUAAAACAGUACAUGGAUUUCAUGAUGCAGAAAAGCAGUAGUUUAUUCCUCAUUUUCCAUCAUGUAAAUUUUUACUAAAUGGACUUGCAUGAAGAGUUACCCUCCCUUUAAAACACAAAUAAAAAAUGCCAUCAUUAUUCACUUUCAUCUUUCUAAGGUUUUUCUUGCAGGAAACAAAGAAGGAGAAAAGACAGAAGAGCAUUCUUUAGAGUAAAAUUUCUAGGCUGCACUGCAACUAAUUUUAAAUGCUGCAAGAGAAAAGUUUAUAGCAGGGAUAGAGAAAGCAGGCAUAGUUUGAAAAUGAAUUUUAUGUAUUCAUUCAUUCAAAACUGAAGAGAGAAUCAAAACUGAAGAGAGAAUAAAUAUUUUUCCACCCUAUAAUCUAAUAAUCAUGUAUAAACAAUGGUAUGAUCAAAGCUUACUUAGCCCAUAAGAAAGCUUAUAUUUUCAAAUCAAUGUACAACUUCACAAAAGAAUUAGAAAAUCCUUUCCUCAUAAGCAACAAUUAGACAUAUAUGCAUUACACCAAAAAAGGAAAGCCAAUUGUCAAAUAUAUUAACUGAAAUACUUUUUUUACUUUAAUUAUCAACACUGAUUACUGUUUUGAAUUUAUUUAUUUCUGACACUAGGGUUAUUAAUAGUAGUGUGUAAAAGAAUCUGAUUUUCAGAAGUAUGUUAGAAUUUCACACUUACAUUUUCUAGCAAGAUAAAAUCCUCAGAAUACCUGUAAUCAAAAUAAGGCAUGUUUAAAAGUCUGUGACUUUGCUUAAAGUUUUUGAACUAUAUUUGGAAGAUACAUACUGCAAAUAUAAAAGCUGGACUUUUACAUACCAACAUAGUAUAUGAUCAGUGCCAAAUGGAUCCAACAACAACAACAAAAAUGUGUGGUUACAGGAUGCAGAAGACAGGGUCUACGUUUUCAAAGAUGACUUCAUAAAGAACUUGUGCUAAACCUUGAAGAGUAGAUAAGAUAUGUAACAAAUAAGACAGAGUCGUUCAAAAAAAAAGCAUGCUGGGACUUAAGCUCUACUAAAUGUUUCUCAAACUUGGAACUAUUAGCACUUAUUAUUAAUUAUUAUUAACCACUAACAAAAACUCUUUGCUGUAGGUGGCUGUUCCAUGCAUUGUGGGAUGUUUAGCUUCAUCUUGUAAUCUACCUACUUAGAAGCCAGUAGCACAACCCUUCCUUGUAGUGGAAAAAACAAUGUCUCUAAAUAUUGCCAAUGUCCCUGUGGGGAGGAGGAUGAAAAUUACCCCUGGUUGAAA
rnacentral:lncRNA from 1 species